rnacentral:rRNA from 1 species
AUUGAACGCUGGCGGCAGGCUUAACACAUGCAAGUCGAGCGGAGAUGAGGUGCUUGCACCUUAUCUUAGCGGCGGACGGGUGAGUAAUGCUUAGGAAUCUGCCUAUUAGUGGGGGACAACAUUCCGAAAGGAAUGCUAAUACCGCGUACGUCCUACGGGAGAAAGCAGGGGAUCUUCGGACCUUGCGCUAAUAGAUGAGCCUAAGUCGGAUUAGCUAGUUGGUGGGGUAAAGGCCUACCAAGGCGACGAUCUGUAGCGGGUCUGAGAGGAUGAUCCGCCACACUGGGACUGAGACACGGCCCAGACUCCUACGGGAGGCAGCAGUGGGGAAUAUUGGACAAUGGGGGAAACCCUGAUCCAGCCAUGCCGCGUGUGUGAAGAAGGCCUUAUGGUUGUAAAGCACUUUAAGCGAGGAGGAGGCUACUGAGACUAAUACUCUUGGAUAGUGGACGUUACUCGCAGAAUAAGCACCGGCUAACUCUGUGCCAGCCGCCGCAGUAAUAC